GUACUCACUUUGGCAGCACAUAUACUGGGAUUGGAGUGAUACAGAGAAGAUUAGCAUGGCCCCUGAGCAAGGAUGACAUGCAAAUUCAUGAAGCAUUACAUAUUUAA